GACUUUUAUUCUACGAAUGGUUUUCAGAUGUCUUAGGAGGUGCCUAAGAGUCCUUCUGAGUAUUAAACUCAUCGUAGAAAAAUUAGGAGAAGAGAUAAGGAUUAAAUCCAUGCGCCACCCCUUGGAAGUGCCCCUUGGAAAUUUCAAAUCAGAAGAUAAGUUUUAACUUAUCCACGCCCCUUAAUCUCUUGCACCCUUCCUAAAGUUGGCACCCUCUAUCUUGGUCAUUGGAUGGGCUUCCUUCCAGAUCCAAAGGCAAGGGUUGAUGGCGCCAAUAAGAGAAGCUUUGUGACUUCUCAUGUGAACACCGUAAGUUAAGAUCGAAGAGUCCUU
rnacentral:lncRNA from 1 species